GGCCUUGUAGUCUAGUGGUACGAUACUUGCUUUGGGUUCGUCUUGAAUUGCAAGUGGCCUGGGUUCGAAUCCCGGCAAGGCCC